rnacentral:rRNA from 1 species
AAUGAACGUUGGUGGUAUGCUUAACACAUGCAAGUCGUACGAGAAAUUUCUAAGCUUGCUUAGAGAAAGUAAAGUGGCGUACGGGUGAGUAAUAUAUGGAUAAUCUACCUUCAAAUUGGGGAUAACACUACGAAAGUGGUGCUAAUACCGAAUGACAUUUAUGAAACUUAUGUUUUAUAAAUUAAAGAUGGCCUCUGUAUAUGCUAUUGUCUGAAGAUGAGUUCAUAUACCAUUAGCUUGUUGGUAAGGUAACGGCUUACCAAGGCUACGAUGGUUAGCUGGUCUGAGAGGAUGAUCAGCCCCACUGGAACUGACACACGGUCCAGACUCCUACGGGAGGCAGCAGUGAGGAAUUUUGCGCAAUGGGGGAAACCCUGACGCAGCGAUACCACGUGAGUGAUGAAGGCUUUCGGGUCGUAAAGCUCUGUCGAUUGGAAAGAAAUGAAUAAAGGCUAAUAUCCUUUAUUUUUGACGGUACCAAUGAAGGAAGCACCGGCUAACUCCGUGCCAGCAGCCGCCGUAA